rnacentral:rRNA from 1 species
AUUGAACGCUGGCGGCAGGCCUAACACAUGCAAGUCGAGCGGAUGAAGGGAGCUUGCUCCUGGAUUCAGCUGCGGACGGGCGAGUAAUGCCUAGGAAUCUGACCUGUAUAUGGGGAUGACGUCAGUUAAGGGACGCGGAUAUCGUAUCCGUCCAUAGGUAGAAAGGGGUGGUUCUUCGGACCUAGAGGUAUCUGAUGACCCUGAGACGUAUUAGCUAGUUGGUGAGGUAAAGGCGUACCAAGGCGACGAUCCGUAACUGGUCUGAGAGGGUGAUCAGUCACACUGGAACUGAGACACGGUCCAGACUCCUACGGGAGGCAGCAGUAGGGAAUCUUGCGCAAUGGGCGAAAGCCUGACGGAGCAACGCCGCGUGUGUGAAGAAGGUCUUCGGAUCGUAAAGCUCUGUUAGUUGGGAGGAAGAGAAGUGUGUUUAUCUCUGCCCGUUUUGACGUUACCAAAAGAGAAAGCCCCGGCUAACUUCGUG